rnacentral:lncRNA from 1 species
UGCAUGUGCAGUGAUGCUAGAGUAGAACAGGUCUGGACCUUGUUAAUGUAACUGCUGCCAGCUUUCCUGUAAGGAUCCCCAUCCAGGCCCUUCAGCAACUGUAGGAGCGGGCGUGGUGUCGUCGCUACUGUCAAAUCCUGGACCCGGCAGCCGACUUUUUCCUGACUUGGACAUCAGCAGCGGAAGCAAGGGAAGUUUCAAGACACACAGUAAAGUUUGCUUCAGUCCAGGGAUCACAGUGCACAAAACCAGAGCAUACUUCUCUCUGAGCUCUCCGUGAUGUUGAAAAAGGUAUGUAAAAUGUUUCCAG